CUGAACUUCCAGGAAUGGAGCCAAAGGAAGCCCCACUUCUGAGUGCCUGCCCUUCUCUGGGCAUCUCAAAUUCUGUCCUUUUUCUUUAAUGUAAGCAAAAGCCCUUAUCUGUCCCUAUUGCUUUUCAAAUUUCCUCACCCUCUCCUCCAUGUCUUACAUGAAAAAGAGACACUGUGAUUUCUUUUCCCUCCUGUCCUUACAGAUUUUCACAAAGAAGAAGACUAAAGAUGCUUCUAGGAUCUUUCCCUUCAUUCCUAAAUAACAAGCUCCAGGGUUGUAAUGGAAGAAGAAACUUGGAUCCCAUCUGCACUUCCCGAACUCCACCUUCUGUGCUACCUGUUACUUCUGAGCAAUUUGUCCCCCAAAUGCACCAUGUCUCAGACUCCUCUGCUUCCUAGCUACCGUGAGUUGAGCAACUUUCCUCUGCCAUGAUGUUUACACCUUGGAGCCAGCCGAUCAUGGACUAAAAC